rnacentral:rRNA from 1 species
GACGAACGCUGGCGGCGUGCUUAACACAUGCAAGUCGAACGCUGAAGCUUGGUGCUUGCACUGGGUGGAUGAGUGGCGAACGGGUGAGUAAUACGUGAGUAACCUGCUCUUGACUCUGGGAUAAGCCUGGGAAACUGGGUCUAAUACUGGAUAUGACAUGCCACUGCAUGGUGGUGUGUGGAAAGGGUUUUACUGGUUUUGGAUGGGCUCACGGCCUAUCAGCUUGUUGGUGGGGUAAUGGCCUACCAAGGCGACGACGGGUAGCCGGCCUGAGAGGGUGACCGGCCACACUGGGACUGAGACACGGCCCAGACUCCUACGGGAGGCAGCAGUGGGGAAUAUUGCACAAUGGGCGGAAGCCUGAUGCAGCGACGCCGCGUGAGGGAUGACGGCCUUCGGGUUGUAAACCUCUUUCAGCACGGAAGAAGCGAGAGUGACGGUACGUGCAGAAGAAGCGCCGGCUAACUACGUG